rnacentral:misc_RNA from 1 species
AUUUCUUGCUUUGCUUGAGAGUCCCAGCAAAGCUGCCUGUCUCGGAGUCGGAGGAGAGAGAGAGAAUCCCGUUAGUCAACCCAGCGGAUACGCGCAGCACACGCAGAGAAAAAACACAUAUAAAUUCCACACCGCUCGCUGCCGUGCCCGCACCUGUGCUGUGCAUAACGAACGCCAGCAAACAAACAGCGCCGCAACCCACCCUAUAGCGCAGGAGGAGAGGAGCCCCUCCUCCCGUUCCCAUAAAUCCCAUUCGCACGGCGAGGCGAGACGAGGCGAGGGCAACUGGGCCUGGGCUGCCGGCAGAGCUUGGACCGCUCGCCAUGGCCGGCGGCGGGGAGAGGGAGGGCGCGCAGGCGAUGGACUCCGGCGAGAAGCGCCUCAACGAGCUCGGCUACAAGCAGGAGCUCCGCAGGGAGAUGACGCUGUUCAAGACGCUGGCCAUCUCCUUCUCCACGAUGACGCUCUUCACGGGGAUCACGCCGCUGUACGGGAGCAGCCUGCAGUACGCGGGGCCGGCGCCGCUCGUCUGGGGCUGGGUCGUCGUCUCCUUCUUCACCUGCUUCGUCGGCGUCGCCAUGGCCGAGAUCUGCUCCUCCUUCCCGACCACUGGUUCUCUGUAUUUCUGGGCUGCACAUUUGGCAGGUCCAGUCUGGGGUCCGUUGGCGUCUUGGUGCUGCGCUUGGCUGGAGGCCAUCGGCCUCAUUGCCGGGAUUGGCACACAGGCAUACGCAGGAUCCCAGGUACUGCAGAGCAUCAUCCUGCUCUGCACCGGCACCAACAUGGGCGGUGGCUACCUGGCCCCUCGCUGGCUGUUCCUGGUCAUGUACAUCGGGCUGACACUGAUCUGGGCCGUGCUCAACACUUUCGCGCUCGAAGUCAUCGCGUUCCUCGACGUGAUCUCCAUGUGGUGGCAGGUGAUCGGUGGCACCGUCAUUGUGGUGAUGCUCCCGCUGGUGGCCAAGACGACGCAGCCGGCGUCGUACGUGUUCACCCACUUCCAGACGGCGCCCGACGUGACGGGGAUCGGCAGCAGCGCCUACGCCGUCGUCCUGUCCUUCCUGGUCAGCCAGUACUCGCUGUACGGGUACGACGCGGCGGCGCACCUGACGGAGGAGACCAAAGGCGCCGACAAGAACGGACCCAUCGCCAUCCUCUCCAGCAUCGGCAUCAUCUCCGUGUUCGGCUGGGCGUACAUCCUGGCCCUCACCUUCAGCAUCCAGGACUUCAGCUACCUGUACAACCCGAACAACGAGACCGCCGGCACGUUCGUGCCGGCGCAGAUCCUGUACGACGCGUUCCACGGGCGGUACAACAGCUCGGCCGGCGCCAUCGUGCUGCUGUUCGUCAUCUGGGGCUCCUUCUUCUUCGGCGGGCUGUCCAUCACGACGAGCGCGGCGCGGGUGGUGUACGCGCUGUCGCGGGACCAGGGCGUCCCGCUGUCGUCGGUGUGGCGCCGUAUCCACCCGCGGCACAAGGUGCCGGCGAACGCGGUGUGGCUGUGCGCGGCGGUGUGCACGCUGCUGGGCCUGCCCAUCCUGCGCAUCAACGUGGUGUUCACGGCCAUCACCUCCAUCGCCACCAUCGGCUGGGUGGGCGGCUACGCGGUGCCCAUCUUCGCGCGCAUGGUGAUGCGGGAGGACGACUUCCGGCCGGGCCCCUUCUACCUCGGCCGCGCCAGCAGGCCCGUCUGCCUCGUCGCCUUCCUCUGGAUCUGCUACACCUGCUCCGUCUUCCUGCUCCCCACCGUCUACCCCAUCAAGAUGGACACCUUCAACUACGCGCCCAUCGCGCUCGGCGUCUGCCUCGGCCUCAUCAUGCUCUGGUGGCUGCUCGACGCGCGCAAGUGGUUCAAAGGCCCCGUCAGGAACAUCGACGACCACAACAACGGCAAGAUACGCAUGAGAGCUCUUUGUAUUAUAGAGAGAAGAAAUGGCCUGUAUGUAUUACCCAUGCCAGGACCAUACAUGAGAAGGUUAAAAACACUCUACAAACAGUCAUGUAAGCCAAAAGGAAGGGGAAGGAGAAACUAAGAACAAUUGGCAUGGGAGACAUUGGGAAAGAACAAAUUUGAAAACCUAGUUCCAGAGGAGAAGAAAAACAUGUGUCUUCCCCUAUAUUCUCAUGACCACUGCUCUUAGACACGUGUUUGAAGACCCCAACUCCUAACUCUCUCCAACAAUUUCUCCUAUACAUCUACCACUAUUUCUACUUUCUAUUAUAUUUUACUACACCCCUACAAAAAAAUCCCCCUACACAAAAGUCAUCUCCAACCAUUUCCUAUAGAGCUCCUCAUGUAUACUCCUGUAUAUUUUAUUCUUUAUGAGAACAAGGUUACAAGCCAAGGAAGAGAAAGAAGCACCUAAGAACAAUAGAGAUGAGAGGCACCAUGAAAGAAAUGAGAUAAUCCAAUUUUGGAGGUGCAACCAGAUAGCUCAUGCUUACCUCCAAAUUCCUCUUUUUGGCUUGCCUUGUCUAAGGCAACUCGAGUAAGAAUUUGAACUGUUGUAUACAUACAAUGCCUAAAUAAUUCAGGUGCUAUAUAAUAUAUAUAAUCCUUUAAUGCAGUGGUCUACUGUUGUUGUG